UUUCCGUAGGUGAACCUGCGGAAGGAUCAUUAAUGAGUUGUCAUGGGGUUCGAUGCUGGCAGCCAAUUUUUGGAUGCAUGUGCUUGCCCUAACAAUCAUCUUCCAAACACCUGUGCACAUUUUUGAGGGAGUCUUGAGUUGGUUGCCGCUCUUGGGUGAUUUUCUCACAUUCCCUUAAAUCAUUAUACGCUAUUAACAUGUUGAACGUGCUCUGUGCCGCAAGGCUAUUAAUAUAAUACAACUUUUAACAACGGAUCUCUUGGCUCUCGCAUCGAUGAAGGACGCAGC
rnacentral:misc_RNA from 1 species